AGUGGCGGACGGGUGAGUAACGCGUGAGAAUCUGCCUUGGGGUCGGGGACAACCACUGGAAACGGUGGCUAAUACCGGAUAAGCCGAUUGGUGAAAGAUUUAUUGCCCGAAGAGGAGCUCGCGUCUGAUUAGCUAGUUGGUGAGGUAAGAGCUCACCAAGGCAGCGAUCAGUAGCUGGUCUGAGAGGACGAUCAGCCACACUGGGACUGAGACACGGCCCAGACUCCUACGGGAGGCAGCAGUGGGGAAUUUUCCGCAAUGGGCGAAAGCCUGACGGAGCAAGACCGCGUGAGGGAGGAAGGCUCUUGGGUUGUAAACCUCUUUUCUCAGGGAAGAAGCUCUGACGGUACCUGAGGAAUCAGCCUCGGCUAACUCCGUGCCAGCAGCCGCGGUAAUACGGAGGAGGCAAGCGUUAUCCGGAAUUAUUGGGCGUAAAGCGUCCGCAGGUGGCGAUUCAAGUCUGCUGUCAAAGCACGGGGCUUAACUCCGUAAAGGCAGUGGAAACUGAAUAGCUAGAGUGCCGUAGGGGUAGAGGGAAUUCCCGGUGUAGCGGUGAAAUGCGUAGAGAUCGGGAAGAACAUCGGUGGCGAAAGCGCUCUACUGGCGGCAACUGACACUCAGGGACGAAAGCUAGGGGAGCGAAUGGGAUUAGAUACCCC
rnacentral:rRNA from 1 species